AAAAAGGGUGUCUGCCUGCUAAAUGGCACACAGUUCCUCUGGAGCUGUGCAGAAUCGCUAGCAAGAGAUUCCGGGCACGUAAUUUUUGUGACUUGGGGCUGCUGAUAGCCACUGUCUUUGGCGCCCCU
rfam:Stegodyphus mimosarum contig40139, whole genome shotgun sequence.